UAUUUUAAAAAGCAGUGCUUACCUGUUUAUUUACGUUCGGUGAAAUGACCUAGAUAAAAUUUAACGUUAUUUUACCGUAUUUAUUGCUCGAAGGAAAGAAAACAGUACUUAACAGUAUUUUGGGAACAGAAAGCUGCAGCGAGCACAUGUGGAUUUUCAUCCGUCUUUAUAUUGUGAUUUAACCGUGCUAAAAUCGUCAACGUUCCAACGGCAUCAUAGAUUGGAGCUGGAUAGAUUCAGAUAUCCCCCGAUUACAAGGCAUCUUCCACUGCAGCUGAUGUAGAAAGGACACUUGAACUACCUUCAACUCCUCGACUGAUACUCUUUGGUGAAAAACCAGGAAGCUGCAUUCAUAAAUGGAUGAUUAGUUUUGAGGGGCAAAUAAUCUGUGAGGGCAUCCAGCCAAGUUUUCUGUCUGGACUUUCUGCUGUGUUUUCAACUUUCUACAAUUUCAAUGUGGAGUACCAAGCUGAGGCUGCAUCCACGUUGGAAUUUAUUCAGCGGUGCUUCAUUGGAAUAAAUCCUGAAAAAGGCACCAAGUGUGGACAAGUCAUAUCAAAGCGGACAGGGAAGGUUGGCCA